AAUCCCGUCCCACUCACAUCAAUCAAGACUGCCUUGCACAAAUCUAUGACAGUGAUGCUUCUACCACUUGGGCCAUUCAGUCAAUAGAAAAAACUCAAGGCAGAUUUUAAAUCAACACCAAAAUCAAUCAAGACCAGGCAACUCAGUCUAAGCAAACCAGAAAACAUGACUUCUUCUUGGGCAACACUUGGUCUGCCCUCUGAUAAAAAGCAUUCUAAAAUGGUGCUGGAUGCCAUCAUCCCUGAAACAGAUAAAGCACACACACAAAAAGAAGGAACUUGUACUUUAGCCCCUAAAAAGAAAGAGGCUAUUAAAAAAAAUACAGCUGAGAUCCAGAAGUGACUGUGGCCCUCUUCCAAAUUACACUGGCUACAUCCCAGGAA
rnacentral:lncRNA from 1 species